UACAGAGGGUGCAAGCGUUGUUCGGAGUUACUGGGCGUAAAGGGUGCGUAGGCGGCUUUUUAAGUUUGGUGUGAAAUCUCCCGGCUCAACUGGGAGGGUGCGCCGAAUACUGAGAGGCUAGAGUGCGGGAGAGGAAAGUGGAAUUCCUGGUGUAGCGGUGAAAUGCGUAGAUAUCAGGAGGAACACCGGUGGUGUAAACGGCUUUCUGGACCGUAACUGACGCUGAUGCACGAAAGCGUGGGUAGCAAACAGG
rnacentral:rRNA from 1 species